AACGUCUGACACAGGUGCUGCAUGGCUGUCGUCAGCUCGUGUCGUGAGAUGUUGGUUAAGUCCGUAACGAGCGCAACCCUUGUCCUUAGUUACCAGCACGUUAUGGUGGGCACUCUAAGGAGACUGCCGGUGACAAACCGGAGGAAGGUGGGGAGUGACGUCAAGUCAUCAUGGCCCUUACGGCCUGGGCUACGCACGUGCUACAAUGGUCGGUACAAAGGGUUGCCAAGCCGCGAGGUGGAGCUAAUCCCAUAAAACCGAUCGUAGUCCGGAUCGCAGUCUGCAACUCGACUGCGUGAAGUCGGAAUCGCUAGUAAUCGUGAAUCAGAAUGUCACGGUGAAUACGUUCCCGGGCCUU
rnacentral:rRNA from 1 species